GCCAGGAGGCUAAGAAAAACAGUAAGUAUCGUAGCAUGUCUUUAAAUCCAGAAUGCUAUGGAACCACGAGCUGCCCUUGUGACCUAGAUCUUCACGGUAAUAGAGAGGAGCUAAGAAAUACAGAGCAACUCAUUUCAAAAUGGACAUUCGAGAACCAUGAGGAUGAACGUCCGUCCCGAAGUGGAUUCAACUUGUCCCAACUCAAAGAUGUGAAUAGAGUUCCAAGCCCAUCACAAGAAUCUGAAAUAUUGCUUCCAAGGAAGGGACAUGAGUAGACAAGGAGUCAAUGAGUGGGGAGUGGCACGUUCCUGACUGCUCUGAAGCCCCACAACACCCCUGUGCCAAUCAGGGCCCUCCAACAAUUCCAGGUCAUGGUCAAAAUAGUUCCAUAAAACAACCAUGGGCCCAUUGACUGGUGAGUAGAUGAAAUGUGGUAUAGUCAUUCAGUGGAACGCUACUCUACAAUAAAGAAGGAUUAACCCACUGAUACGCGUAGUAAUGUGAAUUAUUCUCAAAAACAGCACACUGAGCAAAAGAGUCCAAAAGAGCAU